UACAGAGGUCUCGAGCGUUAGGCGGAAUCACUGGGCUUAAAGCGUGUGUAGGCGGAUCGUUAAGUGCCUUGUGAAAUCCCACGGCUCAACCGUGGAACUGCUUGGCAUACUGGCGGUCUUGAGCAACCUAGGGGCGAGCGGAACAAAUGGUGGAGCGGUGAAAUGCGUAGAUAUCAUUUGGAACGCCAAUGGUGAAAACAGGUAGCUGGGGCUGUGCUGACACUGAGACACGAAAGCCAGGGGAGCAAACGGG
rnacentral:rRNA from 1 species